rnacentral:lncRNA from 1 species
CCGGUUCGGCCUCUCCUCGUCCUGACUGCGCGUAUCAUCAGUACUGUCCGCGUCCGAGUCAGUGUCAUGCGGAUCCGGCUGAUUCCUUCCGGGUGGUCGAGGUCCGUUGGGCCUGCCUCCCUGCCGUAGCUGAGCAAGCUCGGCGGUGAUAGCCCUAAGACUCGCCCUCAGCUCUUCAUUGUCAGCUAGGAGCUGAGCGUUUAUGGCCGCUUGGUCUUGACCUACAUCUCC